UACGGAUGGUGCGAGCGUUGUCCGGAAUCACUGGGCGUAAAGGGCGCGUAGGCGGCGCGGAUAGUCGGCGGUGAAAGCCUGGAGCUCAACUCCGGGUCGGCCGUCGAUACUUCCGGGCUUGAGCACUGUAGAGGCAGAUGGAAUUCCGGGUGUAGCGGUGGAAUGCGUAGAGAUCCGGAAGAACACCGGUGGCGAAGGCGGUCUGCUGGGCAGUUGCUGACGCUGAUGCGCGACAGCGUGGGGAGCAAACAGG
rnacentral:rRNA from 1 species